rnacentral:rRNA from 1 species
UACGAAGGGGGCUAGCGUUGUUCGGAAUUACUGGGCGUAAAGCGCACGUAGGCGGAUAUUUAAGUCAGGGGUGAAAUCCCGCAGCUCAACUGCGGAACUGCCUUUGAUACUGGGUAUCUAGAGUAUGGAAGAGGUGAGUGGAAUUCCGAGUGUAGAGGUGAAAUUCGUAGAUAUUCGGAGGAACACCAGUGGCGAAGGCGGCUUACUGGUCCAUUACUGACGCUGAGGUGCGAAAGCGUGGGGAGCGAACAGG